CCUAGUAACCGUUUUUAACGAAGUAAGCUAGGCUAUACGCUUAUUUGCUAUGGGAGCUUGCUCUUAUAAAAUACAAUCACAACACCUAAUGUGUGAAGUGAUGGUGAAAACAAGAAGUAAAUAGGCUAACUUGG
rnacentral:ncRNA from 1 species